AGUGUGUUAAAUUUUGUUAUGGCUCAAGAAAAUUGAGGGGAGUAUAUAAUAAAAAAUUUCACACUAGGGACUUGACUUAAAAUAUAUAUAUAUAUUUUUAUUAAUGAAAGGGAAAUAACAUACUUGAAAGGGGGUUUUCCCCCCUACACUUAAAUGAAACAUUGUCCCCAAUGUUUAAGAAAACGAAAGAAAAGGAAAAAAAAAAGG
rnacentral:lncRNA from 1 species